rnacentral:rRNA from 1 species
UACGUAGGGGGCAAGCGUUGUUCGGAAUCACUGGGUGUAAAGGGAGCGUAGGCGGAAGGGUAAGUUAGAAGUUUAAUAUACGGGCUUAACUCGUAAUCUGCUUCUAAUACUGCUUUUCUUGAGUAUGGGAGAGGGAGAUGGAAUUCCAGGUGUAGCGGUGGAAUGCGUAGAUAUCUGGAAGAACACCAGCUGCGAAGGCGGUCUCCUGGCCCAAUACUGACGCUGAGGCUCGAAAGCUAGGGGAGCAAACAGG